rnacentral:rRNA from 1 species
CUUGGAUCUUUCUAUCCUACUUGGAUAACUGUGGUAAUUCUAGAGCUAAUACAUGCCAGAAAGCGCCGGCUUUGCGGUCGGAGCGCAUUUAUUAGAUCAAAACCAAUCGGCUCCGGCCGUUGUUUGGUGAAUCUGAAUAACUCGGUAGAUCGCACGGUCCUCGCACCGGCGACGUAUCUUUCAAGUGUCUGCCUUAUCAACUUUCGAUGGUAGUUUAUGUGCCUACCAUGGUUGUAACGGGUAACGGAGAAUCAGGGUUCGACUCCGGAGAGGGAGCCUGAGAAACGGCUACC